UACGGGGGGGGGGCAAGCGUUGUUCGGAAUUACUGGGCGUAAAGGGCUCGUAGGCGGAUUGCUAAGUCAGGGGUGAAAUCCUGGAGCUCAACUCCAGAACUGCCUUUGAUACUGGCGAUCUUGAGUCCGGGAGAGGUGAGUGGAACUGCGAGUGUAGAGGUGAAAUUCGUAGAUAUCAAGCGGAACACCGGUGGCGAAGGCGGCCUUCUGGACAGUGACUGACGCUGAGACGCGAAAGCGUGGGGAGCAAACAGG
rnacentral:rRNA from 1 species